UACAGAGGGUGCAAGCGUUAAUCGGAGUUACUGGGCGUAAAGGGCGCGUAGGCGGUUAGAUAAGUGAGAUGUGAAAGCCCUGGGCUUAACCUAGGAAUUGCAUCUUAUACUGUUUGACUAGAGUACUGUAGAGGGUAGUGGAAUUUCCGGUGUAGCGGUGAAAUGCGUAGAGAUCGGAAGGAACACCAGUGGCGAAGGCGGCUACCUGGACAGAUACUGACGCUGAGGCGCGAGAGCGUGGGGAGCAAACAGG
rnacentral:rRNA from 1 species